rnacentral:rRNA from 1 species
AGUCAUAUGCUUGUCUCAAAGAUUAAGCCAUGCAUGUCUCAGUACAAGCCACAUUAAGGUGAAACCGCGAAAGGCUCAUUAAAUCAGUUAUGGUUCCUUAGAUCGUACCCACACUUACUUGGAUAACUGUGGUAAUUCUAGAGCUAAUACAUGCAAACAGAGCUCCGACCGGAGACGGGAGGAGUGCUUUUAUUAGAUCAAAACCAAUCGGCGGCGGGCGCGUUCGCGCGUCCGUUCGCCGCUCAACCUGGUGACUCUGAAUAACUUUCGGCUGAUCGCACGGUCUCGCACCGGCGACGCAUCUUUCAAAUGUCUGCCUUAUCAACUGUCGAUGGUAGGUUCUGCGCCUACCAUGGUCGUAACGGGUAACGGGGAAUCAGGGUUCGAUUCCGGAGAGGGAGCCUGAGAAACGGCUACCACAUCCAAGGAAGGCAGCAGGCGCGCAAAUUACCCACUCCCGGCACGGGGAGGUAGUGACGAAAAAUAACGAUACGGGACUCAUCCGAGGCCCCGUAAUCGGAAUGAGUACACUUUAAAUCCUUUAACAAGGAUCAAUUGGAGGGCAAGUCUGGUGCCAGCAGCCGCGGUAAUUCCAGCUCCAAUAGCGUA